AUUAUGGAGAGUUUGAUCCUGGCUCAGGAUGAACGCUGGCGGCGUGCCUAAUACAUGCAAGUCGAACGCGCGGAUCAGGAGCUUGCUCCUGUGACGCGAGUGGCGGACGGGUGAGUAACACGUAGGCAACCUGCCCAUCAGACCGGGAUAACCACGGGAAACCGUGACUAAUACCGGAUAAUCCUUUUCCUCACAGGAGGGAAAGUUGAAAGGCGGUCUUUUGACUGCCACUGAUGGAUGGGCCUGCGGCGCAUUAGCUAGUUGGUGGGGUAAGGGCCCACCAAGGCGACGAUGCGUAGCCGACCUGAGAGGGUGAUCGGCCACACUGGGACUGAGACACGGCCCAGACUCCUACGG
rnacentral:rRNA from 1 species